rnacentral:ribozyme from 13 species
AGAGGAGAAAGAGAAAGUGAAAAAAGAUCUUUUUUUGUGUUCUUGUUCUUUGUUUUUUUUUUUGUUGUUGUUUUUGUU